rnacentral:lncRNA from 1 species
GUGCCAAGAGACGCGGUCGCUGCUCUGUUGUCAAUGUUUGUGUGGAUGAGGGAACAUCAUCAGGAUAUUUUGCAACCAAGGUAAUUUAUAAUUCUCCUUCCAAGCUGCUGGAAGUCAGGAUGGAGCUGUGCACACUCAGGACAUUUGCUCGCUCCGGAGAUUGAAUAUUCUGCCUGCACUUGAUUCACUGAAGAAAAUGAAAUGCAAAAUAAGCAGGGAGAGAAGAGCUAUAGUGCCAGGAGCUGCUUCCCGGGGAAACUACUGAACAUCUGAGGAGCUUCUGGAUGGAGGACACCAGGAUCCACACCACAGCCUGUGCCAGAGGGCAUGGCUGGGGGGGAGUCCUGGCACCAGCACAGGUUUCAGAAGAUGACAGAAACUUGCCCAGACUCCAGUUAACAGGAGCAGAAGGCACAGCCACCCUGUUUGAUGUCUGUGACAAAAAGCCUGGGAUGAAGGACAAAAUCAUCAAAAAUCAAUAGCUUCAAAAUCUCUGCCUUUCAAAAAAAGAUUUAAAACCAGCCUCCCCCUGUCUCUUCCUUUGAGGUUGUGCUGAAAGGCUUUGUUUUAAGGGAUGCCAUUUUCAAAGAGGAGCAGGAGAAAGCUGGGAAAAAAAGAGUUGAAAUUAUUUUCCCAGUUCAGUUGUUCCAUAGAGGAGCAUUAUGAGGGAAAACUGGCUUCAAAGGACAGGGAAAGCAAGAGAAAUAAAAGCAUUUCUUUCUCCA